rnacentral:rRNA from 1 species
GUUGGGAAUCUUAGACAAUGGGGGCAACCCUGAUCUAGCCAUGCCGCGUGAUCGAUGAAGGCCUUAGGGUUGUAAAGCUCUUUCACCGAUGAAGAUAAUGACGGUAGUCGGAGAAGAAGCCCCGGCUAACUUCGUGCCAGCAGCCGCGGUAAUACGAAGGGGGCUAGCGUUGUUCGGAUUUACUGGGCGUAAAGCGCACGUAGGCGGUUUGUUAAGUCAGGGGUGAAAUCCCGGAGCUCAACUCCGGAACUGCCUUUGAUACUGGCAAGCUAGAGUCCGGAAGAGGUAAGUGGAACUCCUAGUGUAGAGGUGGAAUUCGUAGAUAUUAGGAAGAACACCAGUGGCGAAGGCGGCUUACUGGUCCGGAACUGACGCUGAGGUGCGAAAGCGUGGGGAGCAAACAGGAUUAGAAACCCGAGUAGUCC